UCUGUGCCCAGGAGGGAACGUCACCCCCGUGCCGUGUCCCCCGGGGAGGUUCCGUCCGGCGGGAGCAGCGCCGCGGCCACAGGGCUGCCUGACCUGCCCCGUGGGCUUCUUCAACCCCAGGCCUGGCCAAAAAGCCUGCCUGCCCUGUGGCUCGGAGGCAGAGCAGCCCCUGGAAGGGCAGGAGACGUGUGUGUGCCUCGGGAAAGGUCGGGUGUUCCAGCCCCGUGAUGCCCAGUGCACCUGCCCCCCAGGGCACCAGAGCUCCUCAGGGGAUGGAAGACACUGUGUCAGACAAGCCUAUGAUGUUUGUCGAGAUUCAGCCUCCCGGAAUCAGGAAGGGCAGUGUCUGACCAAGAAAGGAUGGGCCCGCUAUUGCUCCCAGAAGGUCUGUGCUGCCCCCAGAGAUUACCAGGGCUAUGACAAGGUCCUUGGCCUCUGCAUUUGUCACACGGACAGCCUGGAGGGGGUGUGUGACUCCCAGUGCAGGAGGCAGCAAAGGGACACCCUGCAGUUCACCUGUGCAGGGAAGAGAGCUCAGCUGCUCCUCACCCACAGCAAUGGAAGCAAGGUAAAACCUGGGGGAACUUCCACAGCCUGCCUGGUUUUGCCAGGCUCUCCAAAUUCUCACUAAUCAUUAACCAAAUAGCAUCUUUCGUUUCUUUUUCUUAGCAAAUUAUAGAAUAAACCAAACCAAAUAUUCUAUUACACAAACGAACUAUUUUUG